rnacentral:rRNA from 1 species
UACGUAGGGGCAAGCGUUGUCCGGAAUCAUUGGGCGUAAAGCGCGUGUAGGCGGCUCGGUAAGUCUGCUGUGAAAGUCCAGGGCUCAACCCUGGGAUGCCGGUGGAUACUGUCGAGCUCGAGUCCGGAAGAGGCGAGUGGAAUUCCUGGUGUAGCGGUGAAAUGCGCAGAUAUCAGGAGGAACACCAAUGGCGAAGGCAGCUCGCUGGGACGUGACUGACGCUGAGACGCGAAAGCGUGGGGAGCAAACGGG